UCCACGAAAAUCCGAAUCUUCUUCUCCUUCCCCAAUUUCUUUGAAAUUCUCGAUUGCCCCAGCUCCAUUGCGCACGACUAACGCUCCACCACAGACAACUACACCACACCCUCUCGCUCCAUCACCCAAGCUCUACACCUUAUUGCUCCACCUAGUUACUAAAACUCUUAAAGCUAGAAAUCAAGACCAAGGAAGAAUUCAUGGCUAUGAGAGGAAGCUUUGAGAAAACGAGAAUGAAAAAUGAAUGUUGCAAAAUAAGGAGGCAGAAGGUUUUUCUUUUCCGUGAUAGUCCCUACACUGAGUUGCUGAAUUGUACGAUUUUGAUGAUGAAAAGGUAAAUGAAAUUAUAUUAGAUUCUUGCAAAUCACUUCCGAUAUUAUUCAAAGGCUAUUAAAGAAAAUAUUCUUACAAAGUAAAUGCAAUUAUAAAAGAUUCUUGUAAAUAUUCCGGGCCAGUUCGACUACAUGAACUUCAUACUUAAUAUUUAGUCUAUGGAAAUCGUGACUUAUGUUUUCUCCCUCCUAAUAGUUACUCAGAAUCAUAAUACUUUAAGCAAAC